rnacentral:rRNA from 1 species
GGGGAAUUGUUCGCAAUGGGCGCAAGCCUGACGACGCAACGCCGCGUGGGGGAUGAAGGUCUUCGGAUUGUAAACCCCUGUCGAGCGGGACGAAUGGCCCGCGAUUGAAUAGAUCGUGGGAAUGACGGUACCGCUAAAGGAAGCCACGGCUAACUCUGUGCCAGCAGCCGCGGUAAUACAGAGGUGGCAAGCGUUGUUCGGAAUUACUGGGCGUAAAGGGCGCGUAGGCGGCCUUCUAAGUCAGACGUGAAAUCCCCCGGCUCAACCUGGGAACUGCGUCUGAUACUGGAGGGCUUGAAUGCGGGAGAGGGAUGCAGAAUUCCAGGUGUAGCGGUGAAAUGCGUAGAUAUCUGGAGGAAUACCGGUGGCGAAGGCGGCAUCCUGGACCGACAUUGACGCUGAGGCGCGAAAGCUAGGGUAGCAAAC